rnacentral:tRNA from 11 species
AUGGAGAGCAUUAGACUGAAGAUCUAAGUGUCCCUGGUUCGAAUC